rnacentral:rRNA from 1 species
AGCGGCAAAAGCUCAAAUUUGAAAUCUGGUACCUUCGGUGCCCGAGUUGUAAUUUGGAGAGGGCAACUUUGGGGCCGUUCCUUGUCUAUGUUCCUUGGAACAGGACGUCAUAGAGGGUGAGAAUCCCGUGUGGCGAGGAGUGCGGUUCUUUGUAAAGUGCCUUCGAAGAGUCGAGUUGUUUGGGAAUGCAGCUCUAAGUGGGUGGUAAAUUCCAUCUAAAGCUAAAUAUUGGCGAGAGACCGAUAGCGAACAAGUACAGUGAUGGAAAGAUGAAAAGAACUUUGAAAAGAGAGUGAAAAAGUACGUGAAAUUGUUGAAAGGGAAGGGCAUUUGAUCAGACAUGGUGUUUUGUGCCCUCUGCUCCUUGUGGGUAGGGGAAUCUCGCAUUUCACUGGGCCAGCAUCAGUUUUGGUGGCAGGAUAAAUCCAUAGGAAUGUAGCUUGCCUCGGUAAGUAUUAUAGCCUGUGGGAAUACUGCCAGCUGGGACUGAGGACUGCGACGUAAGUCAAGGAUGCUGGCAUAAUGGUUAUAUGCCGCCCGUCUUGAAACCACGGA